rnacentral:lncRNA from 1 species
CACCCACCUUUAGAGAUGAGACACAAGCAGGAGAAGAGGGAUUAAACCUGCUAGUUUUGGAAAAAAAAAAAAAAAGGAAAGAAAAGAAAAGAAAGAAAGAAAAACAAAAAACAACAACAAACAGAAAAAUGCAAAACUGCAGAACACGCAGUGGAGGUUGGAUUCAGAGGACAUGGGGAUCAGUGUGGGCUGUGCUGGUCAAGGAGGGCUUCCAGGGAGAGGCAACUGAGGAUUCACUGCAAUUGUUCCUUGAGAAGAUGAGGAUCAGGUCGGGAAUUGGAAACAUCUGAGGGCUCAAUUCAACCUGGCUUCUAAAACGAACAUGGUGAACAUAGAUCAACUACUGAACUUCUUUUAACCUCUGGCAUCCUAUCUGUGAAUUGUGGGGAGGAAACAGGGUCCACCCGCUGCUGCACAAGAGGGGUGUGUGCAGACCGUCACCUUGUGUCUGCUGUAGCAGGAGACCCCUGGCCAUGCGGGACUGAACCCAUGAUUGCAGCUGAUCUUACUCUGUCUCUUCUCUGUGUGAGUAAAGUGUUGUUCCAUCUAGUGCCUGUGUGAGUCGUGUCUUUCGUGGCGACACCUAUAAACCAUGGAGUGGGCUGACAUCCUGGUUCUGCUGCUCCUGGUGGCGGGCAUUGUUGUGCUGUUUGCCGUCCUCUACACAGUGCGAAUCUUCUCUACCCUGCCCGAGUCUCGGCAUCUCCACAUGUGCCAUGAGGAUGGUAAUGCUUUACAGAACUGAAGACUCACAUCAAAAUGCUGCCUGCUUCCAUGAGGCUUGUAGUGACAUCCAUGUACAAGUUCAAAGACCCUCUGAGCCAAUUUCCACUUCUCUGCAUGUCUCUGGGGACCUAGGGGACCAGGAUUACUAUAAAAGCAGAGCACAAGAAGGCUGACCUUGAACUCCUCAAGAUGCUUGCUCCUGGGAUUCUCCAGCUGCAAUCAGCAUCCCCCACCCCCACUUGCCUGCGGUUGCUACAUGGGUCAGACAGCAAGGACCACAGGGGCACUAAGUUUGCUGCUGACUCUUGACCUCAGAUGGGCUAUUUGGCCAAGGGCCCAGCUCUCCCUCCAAUGUAGAGGAGGCAGGGAGGCAGGAGCCAGCAAGAAGUUCCUCCAGGCAAAGGGAAAGUGGCAAAGAUACUCAAGAGCUCACAGGUACCUAGCACACAUUGCCCAUGGGCACACAUAUCACUCUGCAAACUAUACACGAAACCCCUGAAAUUCAGGAGUACACAAGCCCCCACAAAAUGUAGGACCACAUGCUUCAAUAUUCACUUUCCAACAUAUUCAGAUCCACAGAAACACAAAUAGCCCCGCGUAAUGUGCAUACAAACACAUCUAUAUCAUGCUGCAACAUGCCCACACUUACACGUUUCCCCCAAAACAGCAUGAAAUCAAUCUGGGCACCUCACUUCUAUGGAAAACUUGCUCUCUGAAGUGUGAACAUUUGUGCACACACACAAAUACACCUACCCUGUAGGUCCAAAUGCCUGGGCAGCAUGCCAGGAAUGGCACCCCUGGGCCUUGCCAGUCAUGGCA